CAGCCAGCCUCACAUGAGCCUUGAUAGGACCGAAGUUCCAAAGAGUGCAAAGACAGCACGCUGAAGAGGAGCGGCUCAGGAGCCAAGCGAUGGAGCGCCCGAGGAGCUGCUCAGAUCGCUGCCCACUGUGGUGCACGACGCAUCGGGCAGACAGCUGCACCCUUGACGGUCCUCGGUGUUCAUCUGAGGACGUCAAGACCCUGGCAGCCCACGCUUACUGCAGCUUUGGCCAGAGCCAGGAGCCUCACAAGCUCUGAGCGCGUGAACAACAGCGUUUACACGUGAGAAGACCGAGGUACACAGGAAGCAGCUUGCUAACGGUCACAUAGCUGAAUGGGAUGAAAACUGAACCGUCGUUUGAUUCCAGUGUCCUCUUCCAGCGUUCCUGUGAUAAGAGUGAGCAUCUCUUGGAAAUUUGCUGCUCAUGAGCAUCUGAUGCCUAUUUCCCAGAGCAGCCGUCUCCUGUCCGUGGACAUCCCUGGGAAGCAGUCCACUGGUCUGAGCAAAGUUUGCAUAAACUCCUUCUGAGACUUGGCUAAUCACCUACAGCUUCCCCACCCAGACAACUCAGCAUGAUCAUCUAUGACGUCACUUUAGUGCCUGGCACAACCAUCUUCCAUGUACUGCUCAGACUCAGCAGCACCAGAUGUUUACACAUCAUGGGCCAACACCACUGCUGCCUUCCACACUCAGCCAGUGUCUGGGAAACCCGGAAAAAUCCACCCCCUUAGGAGCUGCUGUGAUUCUUGAGUUUUGUUUACUACGGACACUGACUCUUGCCUUCAGAUCUCAUGGAGAGCAUACUCCAGAGCACAGCGACAUGUCUGAUGUGGUGUGCACAGCUGACAAAUGUCCCCCGUGUACCGACAAGGUGGGUUGGGAGACCAUAACCCAGAAGUAGAGCUCUGGGGCUGCUCCCAGACCUCCUUGCCUCACACUUGACUUCUGACUUGGAAACCAGAGGCCUUCAACCUAAAGCUUAGAUUGACUUGAAGAAACUUUGGGCUUCUAGUUUGGUUGUCAUGAAAUGAGAUACAAUUUUAAAAUACACCAGGGUUGGGGGAUGGCCCAGUGGACAAGAGGACUUCAGUCUGGAUCUCCCAGCACCCACAUAAAAAGCCCUGCACAGUCUCAUGUGCCUGUAACCCAAGGGCCUGUGGUGGGGGAGGUGUUCUGUGGCUUCUGGCUGCCAGCAGAACUCAACAACAGCAAGCCCCAGGUCCAGUGAGAGAGCCAGUCGUAAAAGAACAGUGAGAAAACAGAGGGCACUUGAUGUCCUUCUCUGCCCUCCACAGGGCCAUGCAUGGAGGUGCUCACCCGCGCGCACACACACACACACACACACACACACACACACACACACAUGAUGUAUAUGUGUGUAUACAUAUAUGUACGCAUGUAUAUGUAUACAUAUGCUUACAAAUAUUGCAUGUGUAAGAAGCAAAGUUUAUUGGAAGGCAAAAUAAAUCUUAAUUAAAAAGCCAAAACUA